rnacentral:tRNA from 1 species
AAAAUUUGCGGAAGUGGCGAAAUUGGUAGACGCACCAGAUUUAGGUUCUGGCGCCGCGAGGCGUAAGAGUUCAAGUCUCUUCUUC